GAUGAACGCUGGCGGCGUGCCUAAUACAUGCAAGUCGAGCGAACAGACGAGGAGCUUGCUCCUUUGACGUUAGCGGCGGACGGGUGAGUAACACGUGGGUAACCUACCUAUAAGACUGGGAUAACUUCGGGAAACCGGAGCUAAUACCGGAUAAUAUUUCGAACCGCAUGGUUCGAUAGUGAAAGAUGGCUCUGCUAUCACUUAUAGAUGGACCUGCGCCGUAUUAGCUAGUUGGUAAGGUAACGGCUUACCAAGGCAACGAUACGUAGCCGACCUGAGAGGGUGAUCCGCCACACUGGAACUGAGACACGGUCCAGACUCCUACGGGAGGCAGCAGUAGGGAAUCUUCCGCAAUGGGCGAAAGCCUGACGGAGCAACGCCGCGUGAGUGAUGAAGGUCUUCGGAUCGUAAAACUCUGUUAUUAGGGAAGAACAAACGUGUAAGUAACUGUGCACGUCUUGACGGUACCUAAUCAGAAAGCCACGGCUAACUACGUG
rnacentral:rRNA from 1 species